AGAGUUUGAUCAUGGCUCAGGAUGAACGCUAGCGACGGGCCUAACACAUGCAAGUCGAGGGGUAACAGGGGCUUCGGCCCGCUGACGACCGGCGCACGGGUGAGUAACGCGUAUGCAACCUGCCUGUAACAGCGGGAUAGCUCCCUGAAAGGGGAAUUAACACCGCAUAAGACCACGCUCUCGCAUGGGGACGGGGUAAAAUAUUUAUAGGUUACAGAUGGGCAUGCGUGACAUUAGUUAGUUGGUGAGGUAACGGCUCACCAAGACUGCGAUGUCUAGGGGUUCUGAGAGGAAGGUCCCCCACACUGGAACUGAGACACGGUCCAGACUCCUACGGGAGGCAGCAGUGAGGAAUAUUGGUCAAUGGACGCAAGUCUGAACCAGCCAUGUCGCGUGCAGGAUGACUGCCCUAUGGGUUGUAAACUGCUUUUAUAUUGGAAGAAUUGCGCUUACGAGUUAAGCGUUUGACGGUACAUUAUGAAUAAGGAUCGGCUAACUCCGUGCCAGCAGCCGCGGUAAUACGGAGGAUCCGAGCGUUAUCCGGAUUUAUUGGGUUUAAAGGGUGCGUAGGCGGAAAUGUAAGUCAGUGGUGAAAUCCUGCAGCUUAACUGUAGAAUAGCCGUUGAAACUGUGUUUCUUGAGUACAUUUGAGGUAGGCGGAAUGUGGUGUGUAGCGGUGAAAUGCAUAGAUAUACCACAGAACACCGAUUGCGAAGGCAGCUUACUAAACUGUCACUGACGCUGAUGCACGAAAGCGUGGGUAUCAAACAGGAUUAGAUACCCUGGUAGUCCACGCUGUAAACGAUGAUUACUGGUUGUUUGCGAUACACUGCAAGUGACUGAGCGAAAGCAUUAAGUAAUCCACCUGGGGAGUACGUCGGCAACGAUGAAACUCAAAGGAAUUGACGG
rnacentral:rRNA from 1 species